AUGCUUGCCGCAGCCUUCUCUAACGGCUCCGCUGAGCACACUCAAACGCCUGCCUCCGAGGGGCUGGGCCGGCGCCCGUGUGCGGCCCCCACUGCGGGGCGCAGAGCUGCAGCCAGGCCUCCACCUGCCGCCGGGACUAGGGCAGCAGCCCCCUCCAUCUGGGCGGGCCUCCGGGGGGCGGGGAGCAGGUGCCCCCCAGGCAGCCAACCCCAGAGUCACUGGAGGCCAGCAGGGUGGGCAGGGCCCCGGGGGCUACAGAGCCCCCCCCCCCCCUCCCGAGCCUUCAUUUCCUGCUCGGGCCUCCCCCGACCGGCCAGGGCCCAGAGCCGGAGGGGCAGGCGGAGGAGGACCUGGGAGGGCUCUGGGGCAGGAGGCCUGGAGCCCCUGCUGGGCCUGGCUCUGAGCUCUGGCCUGGCCAAGCAGAUGACGGGAGUCCUCUGUCCUGUCCUGUCGUGGGGUCCCAGGGGAGAGGCGGGCUCUCAGGGAAAUGUGGAUGGUGCCAUGCCAUGGGCAGCCACAUGGAGGCAUCCGUGGUCAGUGGGGAGCCAGCCGGAGAGGUGGCCUGAGUAUUCACAGCACAGGAGAGGCGCUGAGUCCCAGCGUGCGUGGGGCCCCCAGGUGGAGCCCCCCCUUGGACUGGACUUUCUGUCCUCAGGCCCCCUGCUCUGCUGCGGGAAGCCCUCCUUGCCCCUCCUGCCCCCCCUGCCCUCCUGUGCCCCCCUUGCCACCCCCUGCCCCGCCUGCCCCCCAAAACCCUCUCCUGCCCCCUCGCCCCCAGCCCCUCCUGCCCUCCUGCCCCCUGUCCUCCUGCCCCAGCCCCUCCUGCCCCCAAAACCCUCUCCUGCCCCCUCGCCCCCAGCCCCUCCUGCCGCCCAAGCCCCCCUCCUGCCCCUGCCCCCUGCCCUCCUGCCCCCUGCCCUCCUGCCCCAGCCCCUCCUGCCCCUCCUACCUCCAGGCCCUGUCACUCUGUACAGGCACCAGGUCCCUCCCACCCCUGCCCAGCAGCUGCUCCCGUGCCCUGGCUCCUGA
rnacentral:lncRNA from 12 species